CGAAACUUGCCCCGAGAUGAGUUCUCCCUGACUCCUUGAGAGUCCUGAAGGAACGUUGAAGACGACGACGUUGAUAGGCCGGAUGUGUAAGCGCAGCGAUGCGUUGAGCUAACCGGUACUAAUGAACCGUGAGGCUUAACCUUACAACGCCGAAGGUGUUU
rnacentral:rRNA from 1 species